UACGAAGGGGGCUAGCGUUGCUCGGAAUCACUGGGCGUAAAGGGUGCGUAGGCGGGUCUUUAAGUCAGGGGUGAAAUCCUGGAGCUCAACUCCAGAACUGCCUUUGAUACUGAGGAUCUUGAGUUCGGGAGAGGUGAGUGGAACUGCGAGUGUAGAGGUGCAAUUCGUAGAUAUUCGCAAGAACACCAGUGGCGAAGGCGGCUCACUGGCCCGAUACUGACGCUGAGGCACGAAAGCGUGGGGAGCAAACAGG
rnacentral:rRNA from 1 species